rnacentral:rRNA from 1 species
ACUCUUAUGAGGCCCCGUAAUUGGAAUGAGAACAAUCUAAAUCCUUUAACGAGGAUCUAUUGGAGGGCAAGUCUGGUGCCAGCAGCCGCGGUAAUUCCAGCUCCAAUAGCGUAUAUUAAAGUUGUUGUGGUUAAAAAGCUCGUAGUUGGAUCUCAGUUCGAGUCAGGUGGUCCACUUGCCAGUGGCUACUGUCCUGACUGAACACUUUACCGAGCUGUCCUAUGGUGCUCUUCACCGAGUGUCAUAGGCGAUCGGUACGUUUACUUUAAAAAAAUUAGAGUGCUCAAAGCAGGCCUAACGCGCCCGAAUAAUGUUGCAUGGAAUAAUGGAAUAGGACCUCGGUUCUAUUUUGUUGGUCUUCGGAAUCUGAGGUAAUGAUCAAUAGGGACAGACGGGGUCAUUCGUAUUGCGGCGCUAGAGGUGAAAUUCUUGGACCGUCGCAAGACGAACUAAAGCGAAAGCAUUUGACAAGAAUGUUUUCAUUAAUCAAGAACGAAAGUUAGAGGUUCGAAGGCGAUCAGAUACCGCCCUAGUUCUAACCAUAAACGAUGCCAACCAGUAAUUCGCCUGAGUUCCUUAAAUGACUCGGCGAGGGACUUCCGGGAAACCAAAGUUUUUCGGUUCCAGGGGAAGUAUGGUUGCAAAGCUGAAACUUAAAGAAAUUGACGGAAGGGCACCACCAGGAGUGGAGCCUGCGGCUUAAUUUGACACAACACGGGAAAACUCACCCGGCCCGGACACUGGAAGGAUUGACAGAUUGAGAGCUCUUUCUUGAUUCAGUGGGUGGUGGUGCAUGGCCGUUCUUAGUUGGUGGAGUGAUUUGUCUGGUUAAUUCCGAUAACGAACGAGACUCUAGCCUACUAAAUAGAUCGUCGGCUUACAAACGCCGACGAGACUUCUUAGAGGGACAGGCGGUGAUUCAACCGCACGAAACAGAGCAAUAACAGGUCUGUGAUGCCCUUAGAUGUCCGGGGCCGCACGCGCGCUACACUGAAGUGAUCAGCGUGCUUUUGUCAACCUACUCUGUCAAGAGUGGGGAACCCAAUGAACCUUCUUCGUGAUUGGGAUAGGGGAUUGUAAUUAUUCCCCUUGAACGAGGAAUUCCCAGUAAGCGCGAGUCAUAAGCUCGCGUUGAUUACGUCCCUGCCCUUUGUACACACCGCCCGUCGCUACUACCGAUUGAAUGUUUUAGUGAGGUCUUCGGACUGGCCGGUGCAGCUACUCUUGUAGUGGCAGCGCUGUGUUUGGAAAGAUGCCCAAACUUGAACAUUUAGAGGAAGUAAAAGUC